UUCUCGAGCAGCUUUGCGAAAGAGGGAUAGGAGAUUACUGGCCCAACAUUUCUCGCAUUCCAAACAUCCAAAUUCGUUAUAAAUAUGUGCAAAAAGACGGUCAACUUCCAGACAGCAUUUAUUGAUUCAGAGAUGCAUGAUGAUGUGGUUGAGGUGGACAAGAUUGAGGACAGUAAUCAUGAGGAAGAUGAUGGGGCUGGGUUUGAGGCGGAUGAACCAGUGGUGGAAAUAAACAUUGAUGCAGGGGAUUUGUGAAUCUGGACAGUACAGGGUAGUUGACAUGCACUGAAGAAAACAGAUACAUUGUUAUGAGACUGAGUAGUAAGAGCAGAGUGUUGAAGAAGACAAAAAGUUUGAAGACAAUGAAGGAGGAGGAAAGAUGUUCAACAUGAAGUAAAGGGGGAACUGCUUGUAACCUGAGUAGGAUUGUGAAGAUGAAAAAUUGGUCAAACGUAGGUGAUUGGCUGAGCUGAACAAUACAGGAUGAUUGACAUACACUGAAGAAGACAGAUACAUUUUAUGGGACAGGGUAGUAAAAGGAAGGUGUUGAAGUGGACAGAGACUUUAAAGACAAAUGAUGAGGGAUCAUGAAUUUUAGAUACAAGUGGAGUUUUUUUGAAGGAUAGAGAGAGAGAGAGAAGAGGUCUAAAGCCUUUGUUAACUCUCCUUUUUCUAGGAUUUCUUUGACUAUUUCUUCAGAACCAGAAGGAUCAAACCCUCCCUUGCCACUCUUAGGGAAAUUAGCAGGUUUUGGCUUACAGUUGCAGUGGUAGUGUACUGAACUCAAUUUGAAUAUUUUGUCUUCUUCUGAGACUGUCCAACCCAAGUUAUUCGACCAUUUGACAUGUCUACAUUCUUUAUAUUUGAAAGGAUUCAUAGCAAUGUAAGCUACUCUUGCUAAUAGUGAUCUGGACUGUUGCUUGAUUCCCGAGUCACCCUUUUACCUUGAAGGAGCUGGAGGACAAUUUGAAGAAAUAAAUUAAAGAAAAUGGAUACAUGGUUAUAGUAAUAGCUAAAAAGUGCAGGAAAAAAGCUUUUUUGUAAGCAUGAACACCAAAGACCUGCAGGAUUCUUUUGCAAAUAAGCUACUCCAGGAUUUGAGUCUAGAUAUAUCAAAAUUUUAGGGGUUCAUGAGAAAUUCUUUGAAGUAAUCACAACUUUUUUGCUGCUCAUUAUCAAUUCAUGAAAUUGAAGAUGGCUAUUAGCCUUAAAUUUUUAGAUCCCAUGUACAUGCUGUUCCAAGCAAUGCAUCGGAUAAUGUGUGUUAAAUCCCCCUAGUGCACAACCAUUUGUGGGGCAAUGGCAGGGUAUACGAGCUCCUAUUAAUGGGAGACAUGCUUAGAUACCAUUCUAUAGCCAGAGGUGUUUCAUAGCAUGGAAGAGAAACAACUGGCAGUAGGGAUGAAGAUAUUAUGAAUACAUUGGCUUCAUUAGUUGGAUUAGCUGUCUCAUGUCAGUCAUGCCACACUAAAGGAGUUCUUUCCAUAGUUUGGUUUAUUUCCUUCAAGAUAGAGCACCUCUAUCCGACCAAACAAAACCCACUUUACAGGGAGCUUUGAGGGCGAGCACUUGACAUAUGAGAAAGGAUUCUGAGCUACCAAAGAAGUAAUUCUUCCCUUUAUCACUGACAAGGCUCAUUAAGCUGGUACCACAACCCAUGUUUGAAGUUUUACGCAUGGAGAAUGAUGUUGUAUACUAUGAGGCCCAAUUGCCCAUACUAUUUGUGGAGUUCAUGCACGGUCUGCCACUUAUAAACUCGGGGUGCAGGUAUUGCAUAGAUUAUCUAGUACAGUGUAAAACUAUUGGAGAGGCACAUUUUAUAGGGUUCAAAAUUGUUGAGCAAGGAUGCACCUCAAAUAAGCUUGUCUUACAUUCUGAUGCAAGAUAGCUAAUUGAUAAAGCUUGAUAGGCCCUGCAUACGUCAGAUUAAUGAAGCUCCCUUUCUCUUUGUCCUGAUCAUUGACCUUAUUUAUAAAGCUCUAUACUCAAUUCAUGGAUGUAAAAGUGCUGAUAGAUGUGUCUCCAUUCAAAAUCAUGAACAUAGCAUGUCAAGGAUGUCAAGAAGAAACAAUGUCAAGCAGUGACUUAUGAACAGGAAAUUAGGCAAAUGCUUUUAUGUAUAUCUGUAAGUUCAUUCCAAAGAGUUUGUUGUUUAAAUGUGAAUGCCUGGAUAAAACGUUUAUUGCUGUAAGGACAGGUUUUGAUUUCAA